rnacentral:rRNA from 1 species
CCUACGGGUGGCAGCAGUGGGGAAUAUUGGGCAAUGGGCGCAAGCCUGACCCAGCAACGCCGCGUGAAGGAAGAAGGCUCUCGGGUUUUAAACUUCUUUUAUCAGGGACGAAGCAAGUGACGGUACCUGAUGAUUAAGCCACGGAUAACUACGUGCCAGCAGCCGCGGUAAUACGUAGGUGGCAAGCGUUAUCCGGAUUUACUGGGUGUAAAGGGCGUGUAGGCGGGAGUGCAAGUCAGAUGUGAAAACUAUGGGCUCAACCCAUAGCCUGCAUUUGAAACUGGACUUCUUGAGUGCUGGAGAGGCAAUCGGAAUUCGGUGUGUAGCGGUGAAAUGCGUAGAUAUACGGAGGAACACCAGUGGCGAAGGCGGAUUGCUAGACAGUAACUGACGCUGAGGCGCGAAAGCGUGGGGAGCAAACAGGAUUAGAUACCCCGGUAGUC